UACGUAGGGGGCAAGCGUUGUCCGGAUUUAUUGGGCGUAAAGAGCGUGUAGGCGGCUGGGUAGGUCCGCUGUGAAAACUCGAGGCUCAACCUCGAGACGUCGGUUGAAACCACCUGGCUAGAGUCCGGAAGAGGAGAGUGGAAUUCCUGGUGUAGCGGUGAAAUGCGCAGAUAUCAGGAAGAACACCCGUGGCGAAGGCGGCUCUCUGGGACGGUACUGACGCUGAGACGCGAAAGCGUGGGGAGCGAACAGG
rnacentral:rRNA from 1 species